rnacentral:rRNA from 1 species
GACGAACGCUGGCGGCGUGCUUAACACAUGCAAGUCGAACGGAAAGUCCCUGCUUUUGUGGGGUGCUCGAGUGGCGAACGGGGGAGUAACACGUGAGUAACCUGCCCUUGACUUUGGGGUAACUUCAGGAAACUGUGGCUAAUACCGGAUAGGAGCUCCUGCUGCAUGGUGGGGGUUGGAAAGUUUCGGCGGUUGGGGGUGGACUCGCGGCUUAUCAGCUUGUUGGUGGGGUAGUGGAUUACCAUACCUUUGACCGGUAGCCUGCCUGUGAGGGUGAUCGGCCACAUUGGGACUGAGAUGCGACCCGGAUUCCUAUGGGAGGCAGCGGUGGGGAAGUUUGUACGAUGGGAGGAACGCUGACACAACGACGCAGCGUGCGGUAUGUGGUCCAUGGGGUUGUAAACCGCUUUGGCAUGUGACGAAGCGUGAGUGACGGUAGUGGGUAAAGAAGCACCGGCUAACUACGUG